rnacentral:rRNA from 1 species
UACGUAGGUGUCAAGCGUUUGCCGGAUUUAUUGGGCGUAAAGCGCCCGCAGGCGGCUUGCCAAGUUCGAUGUGAAAUCUCCCGGCUCAACUGGGAGGGUGCAUCGAAAACUGACAGGCUUGAGGAGGGAGAGGGAUGUGGAAUUCCAGGUGUAGUGGUGAAAUGCGUAGAUAGUCUGGAGGAACACCAGUGGCGAAGGCGGCAUCC